rnacentral:lncRNA from 1 species
UUAUGGGUGUGAAAGCUCUAAUAGUUGGUGCCUAAAGGAUCUCCUAAAUGGAGUCAAAUAACUAAAAGAAUAAGGAUUCUUAAUGCAAGUAGGAUUUGUAUUAAGUGAUUGUUUGGUUUUAAAUAAGAUUCAAACCUUAUACCUAUUUAAAGAGACCUUCCUUAAGAUCUCUAGGCAAUUCAACCAGUAGCCCCAUGCCUCC